rnacentral:rRNA from 1 species
UACGAAGGGGGGCUAGCGUUGUUCGGAUUUACUGGGCGUAAAGCGCACGUAGGCGGAUAUUUAAGUCAGGGGUGAAAUCCCGGGGCUCAACCCCCGGAACUGCCUCUGAUACUGGGUAUCUGGAGUCCGGAAGAGGUGAGUGGAAUUCCGAGUGUAGAGGUGAAAUUCGUAGAUAUUCGGAGGAACACCAGUGGCGAAGGCGGCUCACUGGUCCGGUACUGACGCUGAGGUGCGAAAGCGUGGGGAGCGAACAGG